UGCCAGCCGCCGCGGUAAUACGGAGGGUGCGAGCGUUGUUCGGAAUCACUGGGCGUAAAGGGCGUGUAGGCGGUUAUAUAAGCUAAGAGUGAAAUCCCCAAGCUCACCUUGGGAACCGCUCUUAGAACUGUAUUGGCUAGAGUAUGUCAGGGGCAGAUGGAAUUCCUGGAGUAGAGGUGAAAUUCGUAGAUAUCAGGAGGAACACCGGUGGCGAAAGCGAUCUGCUGGGGCAUAACUGACGCUGAGGCGCGAAAGCAUGGGUAGCAAACAGGAUUAGAUA
rnacentral:rRNA from 1 species